UUUUUUUUUUCAUACAGACAUCCAAUUGUUUCAGGAAAAUUUACUGAAAAGACUAUUCUUUCUCCAAUGCCAUGCCUUUGAACCUUUAUUAAAAAAUGAGUUGGCCCUUUCCCUUGGUCUCUUUCCCUUGGUGGUAGUGGUAACAGAUCGUGCAGGCCGGGCCAAGAUUAAGGCUGGAGACCUUCUCAGCAAGAAGGAAGAACUGCUGAAACAGCUGGAAGACCUGAAAGUGGAGCUGUGGCGGCAAACUCAGAAAGAGAAGCUCAGGAAAUUCUACAAGGGUAAAAAGUAAAAGCCUUCGGAUAUGUGGCCCAAAGAAGACACAUGCCAUGGUCCACCAACUUAACAAGCACUAGGAGAACCUGAAGACCAAGAAGCAGCAGCAAGUAUGCAGUCAAGACAUGAGCAUCGACGUCAAUAAAGCACAAACUCAAAAGUAAAAUAAAAUAAAA
rnacentral:lncRNA from 1 species